rnacentral:rRNA from 1 species
AUAAACACGUGAGCGGCCUGCCCCGGACUCUGGGAUAAGCGCUGGAAACGGCGUCUAAUACUGGAUACGAGUAGCGACCGCAUGGUCAGCUAUUGGAAAGAAUUUCGGUCUGGGAUGGGCUCGCGGCCUAUCAGCUUGUUGGUGAGGUAAUGGCUCACCAAGGCGUCGACGGGUAGCCGGCCUGAGAGGGUGACCGGCCACACUGGGACUGAGACACGGCCCAGACUCCUACGGGAGGCAGCAGUGGGGAAUAUUGCACAAUGGGCGCAAGCCUGAUGCAGCAACGCCGCGUGAGGGAUGACGGCCUUCGGGUUGUAAACCUCUUUUAGUAGGGAAGAAGCGAAAGUGACGGUACCUGCAGAAAAAGCGCCGGCUAACUACGUGCCAGCAGCCGCGGUAAUACGUAGGGCGCAAGCGUUAUCCGGAAUUAUUGGGCGUAAAGAGCUCGUAGGCGGUUUGUCGCGUCUGCUGUGAAAUCUGGGGGCUCAACCCCCAGCCUGCAGUGGGUACGGGCAGACUAGAGUGCGGUAGGGGAGAUUGGAAUUCCUGGUGUAGCGGUGGAAUGCGCAGAUAUCAGGAGGAACACCGAUGGCGAAGGCAGAUCUCUGGGCCGUAACUGACGCUGAGGAGCGAAAGGGUGGGGAGCAAACAGGCUUAGAUACCCUGGUAGUCCACCCCGUAAACGUUGGGAACUAGUUGUGGGGUCCAUUCCACGGAUUCCGUGACGCAGCUAACGCAUUAAGUUCCCCGCCUGGGGAGUACGGCCGCAAGGCUAAAACUCAAAGGAAUUGACGGGGACCCGCACAAGCGGCGGAGCAUGCGGAUUAAUUCGAUGCAACGCGAAGAACCUUACCAAGGCUUGACAUAUACGAGAACGGGCCAGAAAUGGUCAACUCUUUGGACACUCGUAAACAGGUGGUGCAUGGUUGUCGUCAGCUCGUGUCGUGAGAUGUUGGGUUAAGUCCCGCAACGAGCGCAACCCUCGUUCUAUGUUGCCAGCACGUAAUGGUGGGAACUCAUGGGAUACUGCCGGGGUCAACUCGGAGGAAGGUGGGGAUGACGUCAAAUCAUCAUGCCCCUUAUGUCUUGGGCUUCACGCAUGCUACAAUGGCCGGUACAAAGGGCUGCAAUACCGCGAGGUGGAGCGAAUCCCAAAAAGCCGGUCCCAGUUCGGAUUGAGGUCUGCAACUCGACCUCAUGAAGUCGGAGUCGCUAGUAAUCGCAGAUCAGCAACGGUGCGGCAAUGUAAUCCAUAGAGUUUGAUCCUGGGUCAGUAAGUUGUAAC